ACUCAAAUGAAUUGACGGGGGCCCGCACAAGCGGUGGAGUAUGUGGCUUAAUUCGAUGCAACGCGAAGAACCUUACCAGGCCUUGACAUGCAUCUCUAAGCGGGUGAAAGCCCGUGACUCUCGCAAGAGAGAAUUUGCACAGGUGCUGCAUGGCUGUCGUCAGCUCGUGUCGUGAGAUGUUGGGUUAAGUCCCGCAACGAGCGCAACCCUUGUGAACUGUUGCCACCGGGCCGUGAGGCCCGAGCACUCUGUUCAGACUGCCCUGUGAAACGGGGAGGAAGGUGAGGAUGACGUCAAGUCAGGAUGGCCCUUACGGCCUGGGCUGCACACGUACUACAAUGCCCAGCACAGAAUGAUCCGAGACCGCGAGGUGGAGGAAAUCUCUAAAACUGGGCCCAAUUCGGAUUGGAGGCUGCAACUCGCCUCCAUGAAGCCGGAAUCGCUAGUAAUGGCGCAUCAGCUACGGCGCCGUGAAUACGUUCCCGGGCCUUGUACACACCGCCCGU
rnacentral:rRNA from 1 species